GAAUUUGUGGCGCAACGGUAGCGCAUCUGACUCCGAGUCAGAAGGUUGCGUGUUCGAUUCACGUCAAAUUUU